GACGAACGCUGGCGGCGUGCUUAACACAUGCAAGUCGAACGGGCCCGCUCUCUUUUUUGGGGGUGGGUUGAGUGGCGAACGGGUGAGUAUCACGUGAGUAACCUGCCCCCUGCUCCUGGAUAACUGCUUGAAAGGGCGGCUAAUACGGGGUGUGCCGGCUGGUCCGCAUGGGCCUGGUCGGGAUAGUUUCAUCUUCGGGUGUUUCGGUGGGGGAUGGGCUCGCGGCCUAUCAGCUUGUUGGUGGGGUGAUGGCCCACCAAGGCGGUGACGGGUAGCCGGCCUGAGAGGGUGGGCGGCCACACUGGGACUGAGACACGGCCCAGACUCCUGCGGGAGGCAGCAGUGGGGGGUAUUGCGCAAUGGGCGGAAGCCUGAUGCAGCGACGUCGCGUGAGGGAUGGAGGCCUUCGGGUUGUGAACCUCUUUCUCCGGUGGUGAAGGCCCUGUCCGUUGCGGCGGGGUUGACGGUAGCCGGGGAUGAAGCGCCGGCUAACUACGUG
rnacentral:rRNA from 1 species